rnacentral:rRNA from 1 species
AAUCUUCCACAAUGGACGAAAGUCUGAUGGAGCAACGCCGCGUGAGCGCAGAAGGUUUUCGGAUCGUAAAGCUCUGCUGCGAGGGAAGAACAAGUACGGGAGUAACUGCCCGUACCCUGACGGUACCUCGUCAGAAAGCCGCGGCUAACUAAGUUCCAGCAGCCGCGGGAAUACGUAGGUGGCAAGCGUUGUCCGGAAUUAUUGGGGGUAAAGCGCGCGCAGGCGGUCCUUUAAGUCUGAUGUUAAAGCCCACGGCUCAACCGUGGAGGGUCAUUGGAAGCUGGAGGACUUGAGUACAGAAGAGGAAAGCGGAAUUCCACGUGUAGCGGUGAAAUGCGUAGAGAUGUGGAGGAACACCAGUGGCGAAGGCGGCUUUCUGGUCUGUAACUGACGCUGAGGCGCGAAAGCGUGGGGAGCAAACA